GCUGGGCAUAGUGGUGCAUGCCUAUAAUCCCAGCGACUUGGGAGGCUGAGGCAGGAGGAUCAUGAGUUAAAAGCCAGCCUCAGCAAUUUAGGGAGGCUCUAAGCAACUUAGUGAGACUCUGUAUCAA
rnacentral:sRNA from 1 species